CCAGACUCCUACGGGAGGCAGCAGUGGGGGAUAUUGCACAAUGGGGGAAACCCUGAUGCAGCGACGCCGCGUGGGUGAAGAAGCGCCUCGGCGCGUAAAGCCCUGUCAGCAGGGAAGAAAAUGACGGUACCUGAAGAAGAAGCCCCGGCUGACUACGUGCCAGCAGCCGCGGUAAUACGUAGGGAGCAAGCGUUGUCCGGAAUUACUGGGCGUAAAGGGCGCGUAGGUGGGCGCUUAAGUCAGGUGUGAAAACUCCGGGCUCAACCUGGAGACUGCACUUGAAACUGGGUGUCUUGAGGGCAGGAGAGGAAAGUGGAAUUCCUAGUGUAGCGGUGAAAUGCGUAGAUAUUAGGAGGAACACCAGUGGCGAAGGCGGCCUGCUGGACGACAACUGACGGUGAGGCGCGAAAGCGUGGGGAGCAAACAGGAUUAGAUACCCGCGUA
rnacentral:rRNA from 1 species